GAUGAACGCUGGCGGUGUGCCUAAGAUAUGCAAGUCGAACGGCCCUCCGACUCGGAGGGUAAGUGGCGGACGGCUGAGUAACACGUCCGAACUUGCCCCUUUCUGGGGAAUACCUUGCCGAAAGGCAAGCUAAUACCCCAUAGUCCCUAAACUGAUUUUUGAUCUAGUUUUGGGUAAAGGCCGUAACUGGUCGGAAAGGGAGAGGCGGGCGGACCAUCAGGUAGUUGGUAGGGUAAUGGCCUACCAAGCCGAUGACGGUUAGCCGGUCUUACGAGGAUGAUCGGCCAGAGGGGCACUGAGACACGGGCCCCACGUCUACGGACGGCAGCAAUUAGGAAUCGUUGGCAAUGGGCGAAAGCCUGACCACGCGACACCGCGUGCGGGAAGAAGCUCUUCGGAGCGUAAACCGCUGUGGCAGAGGAAGAAGCCCUCCGAAUCGGAGGGUUGACGGUACUCUGCUAGAAAGGGGUCGCUAACUGCGUGCCAGCAGCGGCGGUAAUACGUGGACCCCAAGCGUUAUCCGGUGUUACUGGGCGUAAAGUGUGUGUAGGCGGCUUAUUGGGUUGCCUCUGAAAUUUCUUUGCUUAACAAAGAAACUGGAGGCAAUACCGAUAAGCUAGAACUUUCUUCAAGGAAACUGGAAUUGGUGGAGGAGCAGUGAAAUGCGUUGAUACCACCAAGAACACCAGAGGCGAAGGCGAGUUUCUAGAAGAAAGUUGACGCUGAGACACGAAAGCUAGGGGAGCGAACCGGAUUAGAGACCCGGGUAGUCCUAGCCGUAAACGAUGCUUGCUAACUAUUCUUUUAAGUUGCUUAAUUUUUAAGCAACUUAAGGGGAUGGUAAAGUUAACACGUUAAGCAAGCCGCCUGGGGAGUACGGCCGCAAGGCUGAAACUCAAAGGAAUUGGCGGGGAGACACACAACUAGUGGAGCAUGUGGUUUAAUUCGAGACGAACCGAAGCACCUCACCAGGGUUUGACAUGGUAGGUAUUUAGGGCUGCGAAAGCAGACACCGAUUUCCGCCUUUGGCGGAAAACCUACCACAGCUGCUGCAUGGCUGUCGUCAGUUCGUUCUGUGAAGAGUGCCCUUAAGUGGGACAACGAACGCAACCCCCAUCCUCUGUUAAAUCUAUCAGAGGAGACUGCCCUCUGAUUCGGAGGGAGGAAGGAGGGGCAGACGUCAAGUCAGCACGGCGCUUAUGCCCUGGGCGACACACAUGCUACAAUGAGCUGGACAAAGGGUAGCGAACUCGUAAGAGGAAGCCAAUCCCAAAAACCAGCUCUCAGUGGGGAUUGAGGUCUGAAACUCGACCUCAUGAACGCGGAAUUAGUAGUAAUCGCGGAUCAGCCAUGCCGCGGUGAAUACGUUCUUGUCUCUUGCACACACUGCCCGUCAAGCCAACAAAGUCGGCCUUAUCUGAA
rnacentral:rRNA from 1 species